rnacentral:rRNA from 1 species
CCUUGAGAGUCCUGAAGGAACGUUGAAGACGACGACGUUGAUAGGCCGGGUGUGUAAGCGCAGCAAUGCGUUGAGCUAACCGGUACUAAUGAACCGUGAGGCUUAACCUUACAACGCCGAAGGUGUUU